AACGAACGCUGGCGGCGCGCCUAAUACAUGCAAGUCGAGCGAGAAGGUGUAGCAAUACACUUGUAAAGCGGCGAACGGGUGAGGAAUGCAUGGGUAACCUACCCUCGAGUGGGGAAUAACUAGCCGAAAGGUUAGCUAAUACCGCAUACGUUUCCGGAACUUCGGUUUCGGAAAGAAAGCAAUACCGUGGGUAUUGCGCUCCUGGAUGGGCUCAUGUCCUAUCAGCUUGUUGGUGAGGUAACGGCUCACCAAGGCUUCGACGGGUAGCUGGUCUGAGAGGACGAUCAGCCACACUGGCACUGCGACACGGGCCAGACUCCUACGGGAGGCAGCAGUAAGGAAUAUUGCGCAAUGGACGAAAGUCUGACGCAGCGACGCCGCGUGGGGGAUGAAGGUCUUCGGAUUGUAAAAUCCUUUCGGGAGGGAAGAUGGAGUGGGUAACCACUUGGACGGUACCUCCAGAAGCAGCCACGGCUAACUUCGUGCCAGCAGCCGCGGU
rnacentral:rRNA from 1 species